AUUGAACGCUGGCGGCAUGCCUAACACAUGCAAGUCGAACGGCAGCAUGUUCUGUAGCAAUACAGGAUGAUGGCGAGUGGCGGACGGGUGAGUAACGCGUAGGAAUCCGCCCUAAAGUGGGGGAUAACUCAGCGAAAGCUGAGCUAAUACCGCAUAAUCUCUUCGGAGUAAAGUAGGGGAUCUUUAUGACCUGGUGCUUUGGGCUGAGCCUGCGUAAGAUUGGCUAGUUGGUGGGGUAAAGGCCCACCAAGGCGACGAUCUUUAGCUGGUCUGAGAGGACGACCAGCCACAUUGGGACUGAGACACGGCCCAAACGCCUACGGGAGGCAGCAGUGGGGAAUAUUGGACAAUGGGGGAAACCCUGAUCCAGCGAUACCGCGUGUGUGAAGAAGGCCUGCGGGUUGUAAAGCACUUUCGGUGGGGAGGAAAUGCUCAAGGCUAAUAUCCUUGAGAGUUGACGUUACCCGCAUAAGAAGCACCGGCUAACUCUGUGCCAGCCGCCGCAGUAAGAC
rnacentral:rRNA from 1 species